rnacentral:rRNA from 1 species
AUAGCGUAUAUUAAAGUUGUUGCAGUUAAAAAGCUCGUAGUUGAAUUUUAGGUCUGGUUGGGCGGUCUGCCUUUUGGGUACGUACUGUCUGGCCGGGUCUGACCUUCUGGUAACCACCAUGUUGCUUUGCAAUGUGGAUGGGAUUCCAGAUCUUUUACUUUGAAAAAAUUAGAGUGUUUAAAGCAGGCAUUCGCUUGAAUACAUUAGCAUGGAAUAAUAGAAUAGGACUUAGGUUCUAUUUUGUUGGUUUCUAGGACCGAAGUAAUGAUUAAUAGGGAUAGUUGGGGGCAUUAGUAUUUAAUUGUCAGAGGUGAAAUUCUUGGAUUUAUUAAAGACUAACUUCUG